rnacentral:rRNA from 1 species
GAUGAACGCUGGCGGCGUGCCUAAUACAUGCAAGUCGAGCGAACGGACGAGAAGCUUGCUUCUCUGAUGUUAGCGGCGGACGGGUGAGUAACACGUGGAUAACCUACCUAUAAGACUGGGAUAACUUCGGGAAACCGGAGCUAAUACCGGAUAAUAUUUUGAACCGCAUGGUUCAAAAGUGAAAGACGGUCUUGCUGUCACUUAUAGAUGGAUCCGCGCUGCAUUAGCUAGUUGGUAAGGUAACGGCUUACCAAGGCAACGAUGCGUAGCCGACCUGAGAGGGUGAUCGGCCACACUGGAACUGAGACACGGUCCAGACUCCUACGGGAGGCAGCAGUAGGGAAUCUUCCGNCAUGGGCGAAAGCCUGACGGAGNCACGCCGCGUGAGUGAUGAAGGUCUUCGGAUCGUNAAACUCUGUUAUUANGGAAGAACAUAUGUGUAAGUAACUGUGCACAUCUUGACGGUACCCUAUCAGAAAGCCACGGCUAACUACGUGCCAGCAGCCCGCGUUAAUACGUAGUUGGAAGCGUUAUCCGGGAAUUAUUGGGCGUAACGCGCGUAGCGGUUUUUUAGUCUGAUGUGAAAGCCCACGGCUCAACCGUGGAGGGUCAUUGGAAACUGGAAAACUUGAGUGCAGAAGAGGAAAGUGGAAUUCCAUGUGUAGCGGUGAAAUGCGCAGAGAUAUGGAGGAACACCAGUGGCGAAGGCGACUUUCUGGUCUGUAACUGACGCUGAUGUGCGAAAGCGUGGGGAUCAAACAGGAUUAGAUACCCUGGUAGUCCACGCCGUAAACGAUGAGUGCUAAGUGUUAGGGGGUUUCCGCCCCUUAGUGCUGCAGCUAACGCAUUAAGCACUCCGCCUGGGGAGUACGACCGCAAGGUUGAAACUCAAAGGAAUUGACGGGGACCCGCACAAGCGGUGGAGCAUGUGGUUUAAUUCGAAGCAACGCGAAGAACCUUACCAAAUCUUGACAUCCUUUGACAACUCUAGAGAUAGAGCCUUCCCCUUCGGGGGACAAAGUGACAGGUGGUGCAUGGUUGUCGUCAGCUCGUGUCGUGAGAUGUUGGGUUAAGUCCCGCAACGAGCGCAACCCUUAAGCUUAGUUGCCAUCAUUAAGUUGGGCACUCUAAGUUGACUGCCGGUGACAAACCGGAGGAAGGUGGGGAUGACGUCAAAUCAUCAUGCCCCUUAUGAUUUGGGCUACACACGUGCUACAAUGGACAAUACAAAGGGCAGCGAAACCGCGAGGUCAAGCAAAUCCCAUAAAGUUGUUCUCAGUUCGGAUUGUAGUCUGCAACUCGACUACAUGAAGCUGGAAUCGCUAGUAAUCGUAGAUCAGCAUGCUACGGUGAAUACGUUCCCGGGUCU